rnacentral:tRNA from 1 species
GGGGCUGUAGCUCAGCUGGGAGAGCGUAGCGUUCGCAAUGCUAAGGUCAGGGGUUCGAUCCCCCUCAGCUCCACCA